UGGUAGGAUAGAGGCCUACCAUGGUGGUAACGGGUAACGGGGUGUUAGGGCACGACACCGGAGAGGGAGCCUGAGAAACGGCUACCACAUCCAAGGAUGGCAGCAGGCGCGCAAAUUACCCAAUCCCGACACGGGGAGGUAGUGACAAUAAAUAACAAUACGGGGUCCUUUCGGGUUUCGUAAUUGGAAUGAGCACAAUCUAAAUCUCUUAACGAGGAACAAUUGGAGGGCAAGUCUGGUGCCAGCAGCCGCGGUAAUUCCAGCUCCAAUAGCGUAUAUUAAAGUUGUUGCAGUUAAAAAGCUCGUAGUUGAAUUUCGGGAUUAGUGCGCCGGUCGUGCCUUCGGUAUGUACUGGUGUUACUGGUUCCUACCUCCUGACGAACCGUCAUGUCAUUAAUUUGGUGUGGCGGGGAAUCAGGACUGUUACUUUGAAAAAAUUAGAGUGUUUAAAGCAGGCUCGCGCUUGAAUACAUUAGCAUGGAAUAAUGAAAUAGGACGUUCGAUCCUAUUUUGUUGGUUUCUAGGAUUGACGUAAUGAUUAAUAGGGAUAGUUGGGGGCAUUAGUAUUCAAUUGUCAGAGGUGAAAUUCUUGGAUUUAUUGAAGACUAACUACUGCGAAAGCAUUUGCCAAGGAUGUUUUCAUUAAUCAAGAACGAAAGUUAGGGGAUCGAAGACGAUCAGAUACCGUCGUAGUCUUAACCAUAAACUAUGCCGACUAGGGAUCGGAUGAUGUUAUUUUUAAUGACUCAUUCGGCGCCUUACGGGAAACCAAAGUGUUUGGGUUC
rnacentral:rRNA from 1 species